CUUCUUUCACCAGAAUGGAAUAUAGAGAAUAUUAGGUAUGUCUGCUGAAAUAUCUGGUAUUUUUAAGUAUUAUUAUUUUAGUAUUAAUAAUAAUCAAAAAUUUAAUUUAAAAUUGUUUUUUUUAGAAAUAACAAUUUACUUCCAACAGCAAUAUGCACGAUAAUUUAAUUAAAUUGUGUGCUGUGAAUUUCAUGCAUCAUCCAACUUAAGCGCAUAUUAAGCAUUAAAGCCGAAAACCAUCAGCGUUGCCGGCGUAAAACCGCAAACAAACAUAAUACAGUCAGCGAAAUUGCUGUAACUGGCGGCGUUGACUUCGUUUCAUUGUUGUAAUUUACUCAUAUUGUUCAUAAUCAUAUGUACAUAUACAUAUAGAUAUAAAUGUGUAUGUCGUUACAUGUAAACAACCGUUAUGGUGCUGCUUGUUUUCUCAACUUUAUUAAUAAUUUGAUUUUUUAUUGCUCUACAGUUGCCGUGGAAUUGCAUUAUUAACGCAGCAGCUGUUUAAAAUUAUACACAAGCAUUGCGUGUGUGUGUGUGUGUGUAAGCAGGCGUUAACACAAUCAAUUACAAACACACAGUUGUCGGUCAAUCGAUCGAUUCGCGUUGCUGCCGCCUGCAGCCGGCGUGGUCAGGUGUAAUGCGAUUUUAACACAGUUUUUCACAAUUUGUGAGCUUUUUACUGUUUUCACUGCCAUUUACUAGGCGCUGCAGCGAGCGCUGUUUGCUAUUUCGCUGCCGCACGGCAAUUACGG
rnacentral:lncRNA from 1 species